GCAGCGGCGCCUGGGGAAGGAGUAGCUCUGGCGGAGCUUCUAGUAACCGUGGCGUCGGGCUCUGAGGCGCGGAGGAUUGGAGCUACUCGAAUUUUCCCCCUCAGAUACGCUAGUUGCGGGUGGUGUCCCGUGAUGGGGGGCAUGAGUCCUGUCUCACCAUGUCUGGCUGGCGGCGACCCAGGUGCCACGUGAUGGUCAUUUGAAGACAGGCCUGUCGGAUGUCAGAUGCCUGGGAUGUGGACAAGAUGCCUGGAGAUUCAGAAACCAUUUGUGAUCAUGAAGACAAAAGCCACAAAGGACAUCAGCCUUGGACAGCCGAACACCUACACCUUAUAUAAGAAAAAUAAGCCACUUGUCUACUGGAGCCAUUCUUACUUGAAGCUGACUGCCACUUCAGCUAUGGUUUAAGGAUUCAAAACGCU